GUGGAUUAGAUACCCUAGUAGUCCACGCCCUAAACGAUGUCGACUGGUUGUUGGGGGUUUGACACUCUCAGUAACGAAGCUAACGCGUGAAGUCGACCGCCUGGGGAGUACGGCCGCAAGGUUAAAACUCAAAGGAAUUGACGGGGACCCGCACAAGCGGUGGAUUAUGUGGAUUAAUUCGAUGCAACGCGAAAAACCUUACCUACCCUUGACAUGUCCGAGAGCCCGCUGAGAGGUGGGUGUGCCCGAAAGGGAAUCGGAACACAGGUGCUGCACGGCCGUCGUCAACU
rnacentral:rRNA from 1 species